GGCUUAACACAUGCAAGUCGAGCGCUCCCGCAAGGGGAGCGGCAGACGGGAGAGUAACACGUGGGAACGUACCCUUCAGUACGGAACAACCAAGGGAAACUUUGGCUAAUACCGUAUACGUCCGUAAGGAGAAAGAUUUAUCGCUGAAGGAUCGGCCCGCGUCUGAUUAGCUAGUUGGUGGGGUAAUGGCCCACCAAGGCGACGAUCAGUAGCUGGUCUGAGAGGAUGAUCAGCCUCACUGGGACUGAGACACGGCCCAGACUCCUACGGGAGGCAGCAGUGGGGAAUAUUGGACAAUGGGCGCAAGCCUGAUCCAGCCAUGCCGCGUGGAUGAUGAAGGCCUUAGGGUUGUAAAGUCCUUUUAACGGGGAAGAUAAUGACGGUACCCGUAGAAUAAGCCCCGGCUAACUUCGUGCCAGCAGCCCGCGGUAAUACCGAAGGGGGCUAGCGUUGCUCGGAAUCACUGGGCGUAAAA
rnacentral:rRNA from 1 species